rnacentral:rRNA from 1 species
UCGCUGUGUGUUACAAGUGUCACACGGUACUGCCGGUCUUAAGCCGGAGGAAGGUGGGGAUGACGUCAAGUCAGCAUGGCCUUUAUGUCCUGGGCUACACACACGCUACAAUGGCCAGUACAAUUGGUAGCGAAGUCGCGAGGCGGAGCCAAUCCGUAAAAGCUGGCCUCAGUUCAGAUUGCAGGCUGCAACCCGCCUGCAUGAAGAUGGAGUUGCUAGUAACCGCAGGUCAGCAAUACUCGCGGUCGAAUACGUUCCGGGCCUU